GCGCUUUUGCCGUGGCGUGCUGUCCGCGAGGGCAGCUGAGGUGGUGGCGGCGGCCGCCUUGUCGAGGCAUCGCGCGCCCGUGCAGUGUUCGCCGUCAGUGCUGUUGGGUGCCUGGAGCCGCGUCCCCCGUCCCGAAAACUGUCCUUGACAGUACUUGCGCGGCCCAACGGCCGCCGGCGCCCCCGCGUCUCCAUGGCGACGGCCUUUUUCCCUGCGAGGACCCCGGCGGCAGGGCUGCCCCGCGGCGCCUGCUUGGCGCGACGCUCUAGCGGUUACCGCUGCGGGCUGGCUGGGCGUUGUGGGGCUGCGCGGCUGCCACGGAGCUAGAGGGCAAGUGGGCUCGGCCCAGCGUGCAGGGAACGCGGGCGGCCAGACAACGGGCUGGGCUCCGGGGCCUGCGGCGCGGGCGCUGAGCUGGCAGGGCGGGUCGGGGCGCGGGCUGCAUCCGCAUCUCCUCCAUCGCCUGCAGUAAGGGCGGCCGCGGCGAGCCUUUGAGGGGAACGACUUGUCGGACCCCUAACCAGGGGUAUCUCUGAGCCUGGCGGGAUCCCCGGAGCGUCACAUCACUUUCCGAUCACUUCAAAGUACAGCAGACCGAGGACACGGUUGUUAUCAAGACCAGGCUGUUGCCUUGGAAGAGCCCAGAGCGUGUCAAGGGAGACAGCCACAUCACGCCAGAAAUACAUGACAGCUGGAUUAGCCCUGGGAGAGGGAGGCCCAGAUGUG
rnacentral:sRNA from 1 species